rnacentral:tRNA from 1 species
GGAUUGUGGCUCAGUGGUAGGGUGCUUGCCUACCAUGCAUGAGGCACUGGGUUCAAUCCUUAGCACCA